AUGAACGCUGGCGGCGCGCCUAACACAUGCAAGUCGAACGGGAACACCCGUAGCAAUAUGGGUGUUUUAGUGGCGGACGGGUGAGUAACGCGUGAGGAACCUGCCUUUCGGAGGGGAAUAACACAUCGAAAGAUGUGCUAAUACCGCAUAAUGUCAUCGGGCGGCAUCGCCUGAUGACCAAAAGAGCAAUCUGCCGAAAGAUGGCCUCGCGUCCGAUUAGAUAGUUGGUGAGGUAACGGCCCACCAAGUCUGCGAUCGGUAGCCGGACUGAGAGGUUGAACGGCCACAUUGGGACUGAGACACGGCCCAGACUCCUACGGGAGGCAGCAGUGGGGGAUAUUAGUCAAUGGAGGAAACUCUGAACUAGCGACGCCGCGUGAGGGAAGAAGGUCUUCGGAUUGUAAACCUCUGUCUUCGGGGACGAUAAUGACGGUACCCGAGGAGGAAGCUCCGGCUAACUACGUGCCAGCAGCCGCGGUAAUACGUAGGGAGCAAGCGUUAUCCGGAUUUAUUGGGUGUAAAGGGUGCGUAGGCGGGGAAGCAAGUUGAAUGUGAAAUACCGUGGCUCAACCACGGGGCUGCGUUCAAAACUGUUUUUCUUGAGUACAGCAGAGGCAAGCGGAAUUCCCAGUGUAGCGGUAAUAUGCGUAGAUAUUGGGAGGAACACCGGUGGCGAAGGCGGCUUGCUGGGCUGCAACUGACGCUGAGGCACGAAAGUGUGGGGAGCAAACAGGAUUAGAUACCCUGGUAGUCCACACUGUAAACGAUGAUUACUGGGUGUGGGGAGAUUGACCCUCUCCGUGCCGCAGUUAACACAAUAAGUAAUCCACCUGAGUAGUACGGCCGCAAGGUUG
rnacentral:rRNA from 1 species